AUAUCAAUAAGCGGAGGAAAAGAAACUAACAAGGAUUCCCCUAGUAACGGCGAGCGAAGCGGGAAGAGCUCAAAUUUGGAAGCUGGCACCUCCGGUGUCCGCGUUGUAAUCUCGAGACGUGUUUUCCGUGCGGCUCUAUGGACAAGUCCCUUGGAAUAGGGCAUCGUAGAGGGUGAGAAUCCCGUACUUGCCAUGGAAGAACCGUGCUUUGCGAUACACGCUCUAAGAGUCGAGUUGUUUGGGAUUGCAGCUCAAAAUGGGUGGUAGACUCCAUCUAAAGCUAAAUAUCGGGGAGAGACCCCUCUCUCCCCCGUCCCGUGAGG
rnacentral:rRNA from 1 species